rnacentral:rRNA from 1 species
UGGGGAAUAUUGCACAAUGGGCGCAAGCCUGAUGCAGCCAUGCCGCGUGUGUGAAGAAGGCCUUCGGGUUGUAAAGCACUUUAAGCGGGAAGGAAGGCGAUAAGGUUAAUAACUUUGUCGUUUGACGUUACCCGCAGAAGAAGCACCGGCUAACUCCGGGCCAGCAGCCGCGGUAAAACGGCGGGUGCAUGCGUUAAUCGGAAUUACUGGGCGUAAAGCGCACGCAGGCGGUCUGUCAAGUCGGAUGUGAAAUCCCCGGGCUUAACCUGGGAACUGCAUUCGAAACUGGCAGGCUAGAGUCUUGUAGAGGGGGGUAGAAUUCCAGGUGUAGCGGUGAAAUGCGUAGAGAUCUGGAGGAAUACCGGUGGCGAAGGCGGCCCCCUGGACAAAGACUGACGCUCAGGUGCGAAAGCGUGGGGAGCAAACAGG